CCGGCACGGGUGAGUAACACGUAUCCAACCUGCCGUCUACCCUUGGACAGCCUUCUGAAAGGAAGAUUAAUACAAGAUGGCAUCAUGAGUCCGCAUGUUCACAUGAUUAAAGGUAUUCCGGUAGACGAUGGGGAUGCGUUCCAUUAGAUAGUAGGCGGGGUAACGGCCCACCUAGUCUUCGAUGGAUAGGGGUUCUGAGAGGAAGGUCCCCCACAUUGGACUGAGACACGGUCCAA
rnacentral:rRNA from 1 species